GCGUUGUCAAAAUAAGGAUUGCGUGGAGUCAAACAGGUCAUUUAUUUGGAUGUGUUCCUUCCUUGCCCCAGUAAAUGGAAAACACGCAAUACCAAUCGACACACACACACCCACAGAAACACGGGAGUGACACACACCCUCUAUGUAGGUGACUGUGUGAGGGAGUAGCGUGAUGGGAUGGAUCACUGUAUUCAAAUGGAGGCUCAAAAUGGCACUGAGCCAGAGGCGCAGGCAGCAGGCAGUGAUCCUCUGGCCCACAGAUCCACAGCUGAAACACAUCAGUAAGAACAAGAGUUCAACACACUGAUCAAACAUAGAAGUGGAAGAUGCUGGGCUUCAUACCUUCCUUCCCCUGCCCCUCUUCAGCUGCGGUUGUGUUAACAGCACAGUAGGAGACACCUGAGGAAACGCAGAGAAGAAACACAUCGACUACAGCCCCUCUAUAAAGCAUCUAGAAACAUCCAUAUAAGUCUAUAAACGAUCAAUAAAUUAGCUUAAAAGCACAAUAAUUGAUAUCAAAUAAAAAAUAAUGUCUGCUUUGUAAUUUUACACUCAGUACUUGGUGCAAUACUUUAGACUUCCCAUCUAUGAUGGAAUAGACUAAUCAAGUUUUUCAGAUAUAUACAUGAUGAUGUCUUUGUGUGAGAUUGUUUGUGUUACUUGUUCGUUGGUGAUGCGCCAUACUGGUUUGUUUUUCCGGGAACAGAGGAAUAAAUACAUGUAGAUUGAUUAGGGAAUGAAAACCAGGUGUGAGGGGAAC
rnacentral:lncRNA from 13 species